ensembl:lncRNA
UGGAGUAGUGUGUGUAUGUCAUCGUGCAGCCAGGACAACUACUCAGAUUUAAGACGUUAACCUCUUUCAUACAGACAAUACUUAAACCAGCAUGGUGGGCUUUAUAGGAACACAUUUUCAAAGAAAAUGACUUCUAGCUUGAAGACAGCAAAGACAGAUUAGUGCUCACAGACAGAUCAGUGCUUACCGCCACCUCUGGUGAAAGUUACCGCACGCCACUGUCCAAAGGCAUCCACUCUUCAGGGUGCUCCUCCUACUGCUUCCACAAAAGCUCUACCUAGAAAAAGAAUGACGGUCCUAGAGCAGCUUGAAGUACAAAAGAGUAACACUUCUGGAAAUGCUCAGGUGGAGCACCUCCACAAGCUCCAGGCUCCUGCUCCACCCACUGUCCCCAGAAGAGGACGAAAGUUGCUCCCAGCCCAGCAGGAGAGACUAGAGCGUAUAAAGGCUCAUCAGCCCAACAUCAACACACCAUGCGGGACUCGGUGGGUGACUGAGUAUACGGAAAACUUUGGUUUGCCGCAACCUGUCCGCUUAACUCCGGAGAAAACUGCACACUGGAAGGCCUCGAUCUUUUAUAGCACACGUAACCCUCAUUCUGCAGACAAGUGUCGACACACCGAAUAUCAGGCUCUCUACAGUCCUGAGACAGAUCAGUGCUUACAGACAGAUCAGUGCUCACAGACAGAUCAGUGCUUACCGCCACCUCUGGGGAAAGCUACCGCACGCCACUGUCCAAAGGCAUCCACUCUUCGGGGUGCUCCUCCUACAGCUUCCACAAAAGCUCUACCUGGACGAAAGUUGCUCCCAGCCCAGCAGGAGAGACUAGAGCGUAUAAAGGCUCAUCAGCCCGACAUCAACACACCAUGCGGGACUCGGUGGGUGACUAAGUAUACAGAAAACGUUGGUUCACCGCAAAUUGUCCGCUUGCCUCGUGCUCCGAAGAAAACUGCAUGCCGUUUGGCCUCGACCUUUCGGAGCAUACCCAACCCUCAUUUUGGAGACAAGUAUCGACGCUCCGAAUACCAGGCCAUCUACGGUCCUGAGAUCCGCACUGCACAAUUCAACCUUACUCUGUACCGACAGCUCCACGGAACGGCUUAAAAAAGGUAUUUUAUCAUAUACCUUAUCAGGUAUUUUACCCUUAUACUUUAAGACAGCUUUCUUUAUUUUUUUCUGGUAGCAUCUAUCUAGUGCUCUAUCACUGCACAAAUUACAAAGCACAGCAUAAUAUACACAAACAGUUAGCAUCUCACCAUAUUUACAGUUUGAUCACUGAUUAUUGGAAGUUAAAAACCUUGAGUUAUUUUUUUUAUACCUUAUCCCCAGAUGUAGAAUGUAAAAUAUUUAUAUAUAGCAUAUCAUAGAGAAACUUCUGCUGGAUUAUUCUAUUUCCUCUCCACAGCAGAUCUCUGGGCGGCAAAUGAAAAAAUUUGAAUGCUAUUUUUUUUGAUACACUGGAUAUAUAAAAAAGUCUACACCCCUAUUUUAAAAUUGCAUACACACAAAAAAGACACAAAGAGUAAUGCAUGAAGCUUGUUUGGGACUGCAUGCUGUAUUUGACUCUCCUAGGAAGUGGUCACUGGAUAUUGUGGCUAUGUUAAUAUCGUUAUAUCGCACAAGCCGAGAUACAGUGCUUGUUUAACUAUAGUGCUCAGUGCCAGCUGAGGAGGACAGCUCCCUAAAAGGCUGGGUCUCUCCUAAGGUUUCUCCAUAAAUCAAUCUAAGUAAAUAUAACAGGUCAUUUUUCCUCACCACUGUCACUCUUUUGGCGUUUAUGCGCUGGGCAAAAUAUAUUGGCAAGUAAAAGCAGAUCUAUUAAGUAGAAUGCAGAAUGCCAUACUGCAUUGCUUAACACUAUAUAAAGUUGAGGAACGUGUAGAGGACAUUGGACGUUGGAUGCUAACUAACUUCCUUUUACUUAAUUCUGAUCAGACAGAAGUACUUGUAUUAGGACCACGUGUAGCUAGAAGUAAGCUUUCUGAUUACACAGUAACUCUGGAUGGACUUUCUGUGUCAUCAUGUACAGCAGUGUGUGAUUAUUGACUCCAGUCUGUCAUUUGAUGCUCAUGUAGAUAAUAUUACUAGGAUAGCCUUCUUUCAUCUCAGAAAUAUUUCUAAGAUAAGAAAUAUAUUGUCACUACAUGAUGCAGAAAUAUUAGUUCAUGCUUUCAUCACCUCUAGACUAGAUUACUGUAAUGCCUUACUGUCUGGAUGUUCCAGUAGGAGCAUAAACAAACUCCAGUUAGUCCAGAAUGCAGCUGCUAGAGUCCUUACUAGAACCAGAAGAUACGACCACAUCACCCCGAUCUUAUCCACACUGCAUUGGCUCCCAGUGAAAUCUCGCAUUGAUUAUAAAAUACUAUUAUUAACCUAAAAAGCACUAAACGUUCUCACGCCACAGUAUCUAAGCAGCCUUUUGGUUUUCUAUGAUCCGCCACGCCUACUUAGAUCAAAAGAUGCAGGAUAUUUGACGGUACCUCAAAUAGUGAAGGCUACAGCAGGGGGAAGAUCUUUCUCUUAUAGAGCCCCACAGUUAUGGAACAGUCUUCCAAUUAGUGUUCGGAACUCAGCCACAGUCUCAGUGUUUAAGUCUAGGCUUAAAACCUAUUUGUUUACUCAAGCCUACCCUGACUAGACUUUCUGUUACACUAAGCACAGUCCUAACAAUCUCUUCUCUCUCUCCUUCUGUUGAGCCACACACGAUUUUAUAGAGAUACUAGAGAUCCUGAUCCUUUCUGCUCUCCGGACCUGCCUGAUCCGUUUCGGAUGUCCUACCUCUGGAUGGAGCUCUCAUCUACUCCAAUUCCAGAUUGCUGGGACUACGGCUGCUUCUAAGGCCAACCAGACUUCAUAUAAAUCCAUAAUGAACUUUUACACACUAUCUGUUGUUACCCAGAUGAGGAUGGGUUCCCUUCUGAGUCUGGUUCCUCUCAAGGUUUCUUCCUCUUAACAUCUUAGGGAGUUUUCCUUGCCACCGUCGCCACCGGCUUGCUCAAUUGGGAUAAAUUCGCACUUUUAAUAUCUGUAUACCAUGUUUAUAUUUCUGUAAAGCUGCUUUGAGACAAUGUCUAUUGUAAAAAGCGCUAUACAAAUAAAAUUGAAUUGAAUGGAAUAUAUAGGGAUAUCAUAGCCAUUUAAUCUGUUUAUUGUAAACCUUUAUUUUCCAUGAAGUGAUGUGUUCCUGGUCCACUUUCUAAGAAAUCUGGACAGAGGACACAAGAACAAAAAGAGUUUAAAAUCACAAGGGGGAUAUGUGUUCAUACUUGACACCAUGGGAGGUUUGUCAUUUUCACUGAUAGUUCAGAUGCUCAUGGUCAUCCUUGAUUUGUUUACUUAUAUUCUUUAUUAUUGUGACAGAAAAGGAGGGACUAAAUCUGGAAUGUGAUGUUCAACAAGCA